UACGGAGGAUCCGAGCGUUAUCCGGAUUUAUUGGGUUUAAAGGGAGCGUAGGCGGAGGCACAAGUCAGCGGUAAAAUCGCGGGGCUCAACCCCGCUCCGCCGUUGAAACUGUGUCCCUUGAGUGCGCGAAGGGUAGGCGGAAUGCGUGGUGUAGCGGUGAAAUGCAUAGAUAUCACGCAGAACUCCGAUUGCGAAGGCAGCAUACCGGCGCUCAACUGACGCUUAGGCACGAAAGCGUGGGUAUCGAACAGG
rnacentral:rRNA from 1 species